UACAGAGGUCCCAAGCGUUGUUCGGAUUUAUUGGGCGUAAAGGGUGCGUAGGCGGCGGAGUAAGUUGGGUGUGAAAUCCCGGGGCUCAACCUCGGAAUUGCAUUCAAUACUGCUUCGCUCGAGUACUGGAGAGGAGGCUGGAAUUUACGGUGUAGCAGUGAAAUGCGUAGAUAUCGUAAGGAAGGCCGGUGGCGAAAGCGAGCCUCUGGACAGUUACUGACGCUGAUGCACGAAGGCCAGGGGAGCAAACAGG
rnacentral:rRNA from 1 species